GCUGAUGGGGCUCAGUGGUAAGAGCGCUGGCUUGGCACGCGUCAGGGCCCUGGGUUCUAUCCCCAGCACCACA
rnacentral:tRNA from 1 species